rnacentral:rRNA from 1 species
UACGGAGGGGGCUAGCGUUGUUCGGAAUUACUGGGCGUAAAGCGCGCGUAGGCGGAUCUGCAAGUCGGGGGUGAAAUCCCGAGGCUCAACCUCGGAACUGCCUUCGAUACUGCGGGUCUCGAGUCCGGGAGAGGUGAGUGGAAUUCCUAGUGUAGAGGUGAAAUUCGUAGAUAUUAGGAAGAACACCAGUGGCGAAGGCGGCUCACUGGCCCGGUACUGACGCUGAGGCGGCGAAAAGCGUGGGGAGCAAACAGGAUUAGAA